UUGAGGUAGAUGCCCCAUGAAUCCUUUGAAGCAAGGAUUAAAUCUAGACAAUCCCUGGAGAGGCAGCUCUGGCAGUGAACCUUCAACCACUGGAGUCCACGGAUCACCUGUCCCAGAUGUUACCGGAAUCACAAGCAUCCCACCUGGGCUUUCUAGAAACACAAUAAAUCAUGAGGUAAUCUGAACGUAAAUGGUACAGAAGCUUCGUCACCUAUGAUCAUGGAGAGUUUACUGCAGAUGAUGGCAUCGGCCGAGCACACGGUGCAGGAAUCCGGGCAGAGCAAAGAAAGCUGAACUUGUGUUACUGACACCAUCAGCAGCAGGAGGACACCUGACGAGCAUCAUCAUCAUCAUCCAUUAGCAUGGACUAAUUACAGUUUAACACAGCCACACAUUGUCCUCUAAUGAAACGCACACUGACACAAGAUGUCAAAGCUUUAGUUUUUAUCACAUUCAACAAGAGCAUUAAAUAUUUGCUUCAGGUCUACUGGAAGCUGGAAGAAAGCUAAAAAUGUGGAAAACAUUGAUGUCACUAGCACACACAUUGCUCUAAUCAUACUCACUUCUCAUGGUUUGUCAGUGAAUUGGUCACAUGGUGUUGCUCUCACGUCCCCGAGACAGUCGUUGUGGAUUCCUUCUGACAAUAUCUGACAAGAUUUUGAAAUAAAUUUAUUCAUUUAUUUAUACUUCACCAGUUUAUGCAGAUCUCUCACGUUCCACGCUGUUUUGUGUUUGCAGCAUCCUCAUGUCGCUCUGUGCUCCUGUUACGAAGCAGUGGUGAUAAAACAUGCAUGAUGCUCCAUCUGUUCUCCUCAGUAACGUAUACAAGGGAGUGUCUCGAGGUCAGGAUCUUCAAGGAUCAUCCAGUUUUCCAGUGAAAUCAGUCUGCUUACCUUACAAGAAGUCAAGAAUCAUCAUGAUUCCCGUAAUCCCAAUGGUUCCCAGUCUGUAUUCAGUCUGUUCCGGUGAAACUGAAGGUGUACAGGUAACAGGUAACACUCAGCUCAGCGUUGACGCCAGACUCGCAGUGUACUGUUACUGCUCUUUACCUGAGUGCCACCUGAUCUUACAGCCGUCUUUCACUGCGCCUGAGAGGCGAGGACACGAGUUCACUUUACCUUCAGCUC